GACGUAGGGCGCGAGCGUUGUCCGGAUUUAUUGGGCGUAAAGAGCUCGUAGGCGGUUUGUCGCGUCGUUCGUGAAAACCCACGGCUUAACUGUGGGCUUGCGGUCGAUACGGGCAGACUAGAGUGCGGUAGGGGAGACUGGAAUUCCUGGUGUAGCGGUGAAAUGCGCAGAUAUCAGGAGGAACACCGGUGGCGAAGGCGGGUCUCUGGGCCGUAACUGACGCUGAGGAGCGAAAGCGUGGGGAGCGAACAGG
rnacentral:rRNA from 1 species